AGGAUUGUUCGAUUCUCCGCGCCUGACCUACGGACAAACGAAUAAUUUCCGUGGAGUCAUCACAUUGGUCGGCAGCUUUUGAUGAAGUGCUAACCUUCUCUUUUUUCUUUUUUUUUCUUUUUUUUUUUGCUGUUACGUUUUGCCCUUUCGACGAUGUAAGGGCGUCGUUUCACUGAAACUAAACCUUUACCAGGAGUAACUCUUUCGCGAAAAAUCGAAGAAGAAGUUAAGUGGAAUGGGAUGGAGGAACUGGAUUCGACAUUCCCAUCCCGUUUCGAACAAGAAUGAUACGCAUUACAGCUCGAUCUUCCUCGCCUGUCUCGCCUCGUAAAGUGGAAAAGAUUCAAAAUGAUCGAUAGACUUUCUUUGCGUAAGUUUCGAGGAAGGUAAUACAAGAUGAAAGAAAGUAUUUUCUGAAGACACGAGAAAAACGGAAAGGACUUAAUCAGUCAAAGAAUUGACAGGCUCUGCGAACGGUUGCUUAUUCUG
rnacentral:misc_RNA from 1 species